rnacentral:rRNA from 1 species
UACGGAGGGUGCAAGCGUUAUCCGGAUUCACUGGGUUUAAAGGGAGCGUAGGCGGAUAGGUAAGUCAGUGGUGAAAUCCUGCAGCUUAACUGCAGAACUGCCGUUGAUACUAUCUAUCUUGAAUGUCGUUGAGGUUUGCGGAAUAGGUCAUGUAGCGGUGAAAUGCAUAGAUAUGACCUGGAACACCUAUUGCGAAGGCAGCAGGCUAAACGAAUAUUGACGCUGAGGCUCGAAAGCGUGGGGAUCAAACAGG